CGUUGUCCGGAUUAUUGGGCGUAAAGCGCGCGCAGGCGGAUCAGUCAGUCUGUCUUAAAAGUUCGGGGCUUAACCCCGUGAUGGGAUGGAAACUGCUGAUCUAGAGUAUCGGAGAGGAAAGUGGAAUUCCUAGUGUAGCGGUGAAAUGCGUAGAUAUUAGGAAGAACACCAGUGGCGAAGGCGACUUUCUGGACGAAAACUGACGCUGAGGCGCGAAAGCCAGGGGAGCGAACGGGAUUAGAUACCCCGGUAGUCCUGGCCGUAAACGAUGGGUACUAGGUGUAGGAGGUAUCGACCCCUUCUGUGCCGGAGUUAACGCAAUAAGUACCCCGCCUGGGGAGUACGACCGCAAGGUUGAAACUCAAAGGAAUUGACGGGGGCCCGCACAAGCGGUGGAGUAUGUGGUUUAAUUCGACGCAACGCGAAGAACCUUACCAGGUCUUGACAUUGAUGGACAGAACUAGAGAUAGUUCCUCUUCUUCGGAAGCCAGAAAACAGGUGGUGCACGGUUGUCGUCAGCUCGUGUCGU
rnacentral:rRNA from 1 species